rnacentral:rRNA from 1 species
CCUACGGGAGGCAGCAGUGGGGAAUAUUGGGCAAUGGAGGAAACUCUGACCCAGCAACGCCGCGUGAAUGAUGAAGGUCUUCGGAUUGUAAAGUUCUUUUCUAAGGGAGCAAUUGAGUCCACGUGUGGGCUUAGCGAGAGUACCUGAAGAAAAAGCAUCGGCUAACUCCGUGCCAGCAGCCGCGGUAAUACGGAGGAUGCGAGCGUUAUCCGGAUUUAUUGGGUUUAAAGGGUGCGUAGGCGGAAUAUCAAGUCAGCGGUAAAAAUUCGGGGCUCAACCCCGUCGUGCCGUUGAAACUGAUGUUCUUGAGUGGGCGAGAAGUAUGCGGAAUGCGUGGUGUAGCGGUGAAAUGCAUAGAUAUCACGCAGAACUCCGAUUGCGAAGGCAGCAUACCGGCGCCCAACUGACGCUGAAGCACGAAAGCGUGGGUAUCGAACAGGAUUAGAUACCCGUGUAGUC